CUGACACAUUGGCUAUUACAACUGGAUUGGUUUUAAAAGAACUAUGACCACCGUUCUGCUUGGAAAUAUUCAUUGAGUGGCUUCAUCCUGCUUCUCCAUCUGUAUAGCACAUGUCAUGCGAUGCCUGAUGCGUUUGUAAGUACUCUCUCUAUAUCUGAAAAUUGAAUGUAUUUGUUUUCCCAUCACCU
rnacentral:lncRNA from 1 species